rnacentral:misc_RNA from 1 species
ACGAACCUUCGCCUCCCCGUAGAAAAUACAGCGCCCUGUGAGUUAAGAUUUGAAGCUUCUGCUUCUUCUCGUAUUGACCGCAUUUCUCAUUCUGGCUGUGAUGCAGGAGGAUAAGAGCUACCUAGUCGUUGCAGAUCCUGGGCCGAACCUACUUUAACUUUGUCCUCCCUCCAAUUUAUUUUGUUGUUUGAGACCCGGGAACGACCAGCGAGCGUAAUGGCGGAGGAGAACGACACGUGGAGACCAUCAAGCCUUUGCUUCGAUUGGGACGGCGCUACUGUGGUGCAGUAUACCUACAGAAACGAGAGCUGAGCCGAAGUGGACACAAAGAAAAAGCGAGUUCCGCGCAAUGGUACAAACUUCUGAAAUAACUUCAACCCAGACAGGAGGGACGCUUUUAUGAGGUGGCCUCCUGUAGCGCUUCAUCUGUUACCGAGCGGAAAGCUGACCAAUAAGCCCCCGCAUACUACCUGAAGGCAUCAAGUCGGCAGGAACGAGACUCUCGCUAUGAAUGAUGAAAGAAGAAGGCAACUGCAGGUGCGUUCGCCGCAUUCCUGUAGUUGACGUCUAUGGAGCGCGGCAGGUGGGAAGCCACUGAUCUGAACCACUAAUAAA